rnacentral:rRNA from 1 species
AGUUUGAUCCUGGCUCAGGAUGAACGCUAGCGGCAGGCCUCAUACAUGCAAGUCGAGGGGCAGCGGGACACUUCGGUGUUGCCGGCGACCGGCGGACGGGUGCGUAAUGCGCAUGCAAUCUACUUUACACUGGGGAAUAGCCUCCGGAAACGGGAAUUAAUACCCCAUAUAAUCUUAUUAGCGCAUGUUAAAAAGAUGAAAGCUCCGGCGGUGUUAAAAAGAGCGUGCGUCCUAUUAGCUAGUUGGUGAGGUAAUGGCUCACCAAGGCUACGAUGGGUAGGGGUUCUUAGUGGAAGGUCCCCCACACUGGCACUGAGAUACGGGCCAGACUCCUACGGGAGGCAGCAGUAGGGAAUAUUGGUCAAUGGGCGCAAGCCUGAACCAGCCAUGCCGCGUGCAGGAUGAAGGCUCUCUGAGUUGUAAACUGCUUUUGUACAGGAGCAAAAAAAUCCCUGCGGGGGUUCUUGAGAGUACUGUAAGAAUAAGCACCGGCUAAUUCCGUGCCAGCAGCCGCGGUAAUACGGGAGGUGCAAGCGUUAUCCGGUUUUAUUGGGUUUAAAGGGUGCGUAGGCGGCUUAUUAAGUCAGUUGUGAAAUCCUAGUGCUUAACGCUAGAACUGCGAUGAUACUAUUAGGCUUGAGUUAAGAAGAGGUAA